UCCUCCAGCCAGAGGCGGCUCUGAACCGUUCGGCCUCAAGACGACAACAAAAGAAACUGAAGCUAAGACAAGACGCCACUGCAGCUUUUUAAACCAAAACCCGUUCGCAGGUUUUCCAAAAUGAACAUAUAAUCAACAGCUGCAGAGCAGAACGUGAGAUUCAGAGGCGGCGUUACGUUCUGAUGUGGAGUCGGCCCGGAGCUCACGCCGAGAGAGCAGGAAGGUUCUGGUUCUCCCGGCCAGGAGGAUCUCGACUCUGUGACUCAUUUGCAGCAGGUGUGAGGACGUUUUCCAUAGAAUCAUUUACACCAGUUCCUUCACAUUCUCUUCCUCCUGGUUCAGAAGAGAAACCUGCAUGUUGAGUCUGCACAGUGUGAGACUUUUAUAGACAGAAAAAGACUUCAGUGAGAGUUUUCCCAGCUGACAGCGGGUCCCUGAACGUAUCCUGAAGCCAUUUUCUUCCUCCGGCGUGGUUCCUGCUGUUCUCUUCAGGAUGUUUUUUUUUUUUUUUCUACAAAGUGAAAAGGUGAAAACAAAGAUUUCCCUCAGAUGAAGAGAAUUAACUUCUUGAAUGGGAACUGUGUGCUGCACCACAAACCGCCACCCCUGGAUCCAUCUUCUAUACGUACAGAUUACACGAGCUGCCAUUAGAGGAAGGAGUUGUGAGCUAGAGAAGUCGAGGAAAGAAUAUUUUUACAUUUCACAGGAUUACCCAGAAGGUUUCCAGAUUCACAAGGAAUCAUUUCCAGCCUGUUUUUGUAAACACAGGACCAGGGCCUCCGAGCACGAGUCACACGGGCUCCAAAAUUAUAAAAGCUCGUCUCUGCAAACUAAAUGAGAGGUCAAGAUGUGAAGCGUUUUGCGGUGGCGGAGCUGUGUGAUCAUGGUUCUCUGUCACCUGCCUGUGUUCAUUAUAACAAACCCAACAUAAAGCAGCUGAAAGCGUCACUAUCGGUGUUUGAGGUGGCGGCGGUGACUCAGCGCGAGCCUGCAGGAGGUCGAUGCCUCCUGGAGUUCAGACCUCGGAGGAAAAACCCUGCAGCUGACGGCAGAGAGAAUUCAAAAGACU